UGCGUAGGUGGUUUGUUAAGUCUGCUGUGAAAGCCCCGGGCUCAACCUGGGAAUGGCAGUGGAUACUGGCAAGCUAGAGUGCGGUAGAGGGUAGUGGAAUUCCCGGUGUAGCGGUGAAAUGCGUAGAGAUCGGGAGGAACACCAGUGGCGAAGGCGGCUACCUGGACCAGCACUGACACUGAGGCACGAAAGCGUGGGGAGGCAAACA
rnacentral:rRNA from 1 species